rnacentral:misc_RNA from 1 species
GUGAAUCAUCAAAUUUUUGAACGCAAAUUGCACUUUCUGGUAUUCCGGAAUGUAUGCCUGUUUGAGGGUCAGUUAAAUAAAAAUCGGUUUUGUUGCUGCUUUUCGUGGUUACGCUUCGGAAUUGAGUUGUCUUACCUACGGUUAAGUGACUUAAAAUUUUUCAUGAUUUUCGAACGUAUUUAAAUUUCUUACGUACUUUUGAGAUAUCUAAUACUUUAUUAUGUUCUGUCAUCCUCAUGAUUCUCACCUAUAAUUUUUCAUUAACUUACCUUAAAUCAUGUAAGAAUACCCUCUGAACUUA